rnacentral:rRNA from 1 species
GGUAGCACAGAGAGCUUGCUCUCGGGUGACGAGUGGCGGACGGGUGAGUAAUGUCUGGGAAACUGCCUGAUGGAGGGGGAUAACUACUGGAAACGGUAGCUAAUACCGCAUAACGUCGCAAGACCAAAGAGGGGGACCUUCGGGCCUCUUGCCAUCAGAUGUGCCCAGAUGGGAUUAGCUAGUAGGUGGGGUAACGGCUCACCUAGGCGACGAUCCCUAGCUGGUCUGAGAGGAUGACCAGCCACACUGGAACUGAGACACGGUCCAGACUCCUACGGGAGGCAGCAGUGGGGAAUAUUGCACAAUGGGCGCAAGCCUGAUGCAGCCAUGCCGCGUGUAUGAAGAAGGCCUUCGGGUUGUAAAGUACUUUCAGCGGGGAGGAAGGGAGUAAGGUUAAUAACCUUAUUCAUUGACGUU